AUAUUAUUUAUAUAUUGCACUCAGUGUUUUAUCCUUCUGUGAUGGAAUAAACGUCUAUCGUUCGAUUAGACUGAACUGCAUUUUGAAGUCUGAACAAGUUGACAAUUGCAAAUAAUUUCUUCGAUGUUUCGCAACCUCUUAUAAUAGCUCCUCCGUGAUCAAUCAGACGGAAAUAGAUUUUAUUCAUUAUAUCAUUCUGCAAGUUUCUCUGGUUUGUAAAUCGAUAGCUAUUAGAAAAUAUUACUCGAUAGAAAUACAAUAUUUUUAGUUAUAUAGUUAAUUGAAAAAUUACAUACGAAAGGAUUUGGAACUAAUUACAAAAUUAGAUAAAAGAACUGUGAUCCUUUGUUUUAUCCUUUUAUCUUCUAUGGUUGCAUCUAUGUAUGAUAAAAUGUUAAAAAGCGGUAAAAAUUAACCUAUAACAGGGGUAUUGGUGUUCGUAAGUAUUCAGUAUUACAGGAUUAUUUACUUACUUCAAGAGUUCUUUAUCCUCGCGUUAUUUAAUUACAUACGAAACUAUGAGUCAGAUAAAGCAGGUUAUUCUAAUUCUAAACGAAGAGAAACACUACCAUGAUUAAUUCAGAUAGAGGUAUCUAAUUCUAGACACCAAUUAUCAUCGUAUUUAAUUAUAGUACAUUAUAUUUUACUGCUUGCUACUUCUAUAAAAUCAAUACAAAUCGACUAAAAUACCUAUUAAAUACUUAUUAAAAUUUGGCCAUAAAAUGACCGAUCUCUUAUAGAUUUGAUCAUAGGACAAUCUCGAACACUUUCGAACAACCUUCAAUUUACUUUAUAUGAUAUGUAUCUAGAAGGCCAUGUGGUAAUCAUUAGAAAUCCUUGCAUGGCAUGAUUGCAUACUUUAAGUGAAUUCGAUUGAUCUAUUUCAGUUCAAUUGAAGACUGUACUUGAACCGAAUUUGUACUUUUAAAAAGUGAAAGGUUCGAAAGUACGGGAAUUACUGGAAUAAUCCACCAUGGUUAAAUCAAUUCGAUAGUGACCUAAUGAUAAUGGGCCUAAUAUGAGCAAGCACACCGUAUUCGAUUACGCCUCAUUAUGGGCAUCUAUCGAUCUUCUUUAUUCCUGUCACGUCUGCUGCACAGAUGUACCCACUUUCGAUGGCUCUGAAUACCAAAUGAAUUCCGUUGUAUCGAAUCGUAAGAUCACCCACACGAUCUACGUUCUAUGUGCGUGCGCUUGUUUUACAAAAUCGGUCCGUUGUAAAUUUUUUGUCAAACAAUGAUCGAAUCACGAAACAACUUCAUUUUUACGAAGAUUUGUUGUCAUUCGUAAUACGGUAGAAUUGGGAUUUAUCAGAUUCAAUGCUAGUUUGUUACAAGCAAUCCGUUACAAAGUAUGACAUAGUAUUUAAUGGUAUUUUAAGAUACUUCGGUAGUUAAUUUAUUUUAGUUAAUCGGAUUUUGGAAAUUUCAGUUUCCUGGAAUUCUCUAAAUUUUAGACUCAUCGAAAGAUUCUAGGAAUCAUCUAGGUUCUGAGGAUAUCGAGGACUUCAGAAGAAUUUAAAGACGAUGCGGAAUCGAAGCUGCAGACGCUCCUCAAAGAUGGAGCAAGCACUUUCAUGGACUUUGAAUGGCUACAACCAGAAUUACCGUCGUUCUUCGACGAAAAAAAGUUUCUCCUCGGACAGCAGAUGUUUUAUAACAACGCUUUCACCAUGAUGAUUGCCAAACUAUGUGGAUUAUUAUCUUUAUUCGCUGUACCGUCGAUCAAGGACGUUUUAAUAUUCACCAGACGGAGUGGUACACCGUGUGCUGCCUUUCGCAGAUACGUAUCCACCAUUCUACAUAAUUGGGUUUGGUAUGGAAAAAGAGCUGGCAUAGAAAAAGAAUUUCUCGAAUCGCUGAAAAUCGUACGGAAAAAACACUGCGUAGCGUUUCGAAGAAGUUCAGAGGCGGGGCUGAACAGAGUCUCGCAACUGGAUAUGGCAUUGGCUCAAUUUGGAUUCAUGGGUUUCACCCUCCUGGCUGGUGACUAUCUUGGGGUGAAUAACAGUUCCGAGGAACUGGAAGGACUGAUUCACUUUUGGAGAGUCAUUGGCAACAUGCUGGGCAUGGAAGACAAAUACAAUCUUUGCACCGGAAGCGUGGAAGAGACACGGGCUCUUUGUAGAGGACUUCUGGACGAGGUUUUUCUCCCCUCACUCGCCAGUGGUAGCAAAGAUUUCGAAGAGAUGAGUCGUAUUUUAAUAGAAUCCCUAUGGCCGGUGAAUCCUUAUAUGGAUUCGAAUGCUUUCAUUGAAUUCACAUUCAUUCUAGCCUCCACUGCCGCAACGAAUAAUAAUCACUCGUUAAAAAUAGAUUCAUCAAGGAUGUCGUGGUACGGUAGAUUUAUCUUGAAUGUUCAACUAAUUACACACAAAUACCUAUUACCAACUACGUAUUGGUGGUCCCGAUUCUUCAGGGCGUUCUUCAACAGCCAAAUGCGAUUGGCCAUCUAUUUAACGGAAAAUUUACCGUUUCUGGCGUUCUGGAGUUAUGGUAUAAAACACUCUUACGUCAAUAUAUACAAAUACCGCGUCGUCUGACCUUAAAUGUGGUAAUUGUCUUAUAAAAUAAUCAAAGAGUAAUUUUCAUCGAAAGUGUACAUAAUCUGACGUAAAAUGAUUCUACAAACGUAUAAUGUAUUCUUAAUAACUUAUAAUCAUUGCAGUAUAUGUAUUUAGGAUAUGUUUCACAGUAUUUUUAGACUCGUAACAUGUUCGCAGGUUACUACUGCGGUUCUCGGAUUUUUAUGUUUUCGUUUUAUUCUUUUUUUUUUAACAAACAAUGAGAUUUUUAAUAUCUUAAGAGAAAUUGUAGUGGAUAAUGAAGAUAUUACUUCCCUGUAAUUUAAGAAAUUUGUUAGUAACAAGAAACAGAGUCGUGUCUAAUAUGAAUCAAAAAAUCUAACAGGGUUAAGGUCGAUUUAAGUCGAAGCUCAAUUUAGAAAAUAAGCGAUAUAUAAUAAUAAGAUUAAAUAGCGCUGUGUUUAAUGUAAUUGUUUCGGUACCUGCAAAGAAAAGAUUUAUUACAUUUAUUACAUGUAUACUUAAAACGUAGUUCUUAUCACCGUAUUUAUAAUUUUAUAACUUUAUAUUAACUACUUAAUGUAAAUAUAGAUACAGUAAGCGACAAGUUAAAAUUAAAGGAACGCUAUCUGUCUUUAUAUUAAUAAAUUGAUUGAAUGAAAGUGUGACGUGUGAAGUUGGUUUCAGACGAAAGACAAUGACCCAUCGAGCGUGCAUCAUACCCGCUUACACGAAAACCUUAAAAACUGUGUAAUAUUUCCACGCAACGUAUUGUAAUUUUAGUCAAGUCUGCCUUAUCUCUCGCAUCAUGGCGUCUGGUAAGUGUUCCUUCUUCAGGCGAGACUACAACAAUACUUUCGCACAGAUCGUAAAUCUGUCGUUUAACCAGUAUUUCAUUCGAGAUGUUUCUUCAUCGUUUAUUUUCUUUACAAACAGAUAUUCUUGGUAAAUAUGAAUAUCUAAUUAAAAGAUUAUCAGUAAUCGAAUCUCAGAUCGGUGUAUCUCGAGCGACUUGAGCAAGUGCACGAGUAAAACUUACGUCCAGAGACAAUUAACCUUGGAUGCUAUCCACGACACUAAAAUAAACACGAUGAUUGAACAGAUGUAUAACUCGUUGGAUAAAAUAUGCUUGCGAUUCUAUCGACAGUAGUAUGAGACGUUGCCUUUCUAUUUGCUAGAUUCUUUAACUCGUUAAGAAGGUACUCUGAUUUAGAAUGCCAUCUUUUACAUAUUUUUAAAGAUUUUUUUGUAUUAUUUCUUGCACGCAUAUUUAUUAACGCUUGAAAAAUAUUCAACGUCUUUUUCAAGUGAAAAUAAUCAUUAUUAAUUAUUAGUUAUUAGUUACUAGAUAUUAGUUAUCAAUUAUCUGUCAUUACAUGCAAGCAUUGGAAUAGUUGAUCAGAAUUGCAUAAAUGCAAAGGUAUUGAAGGACGUAAACAAAGUAAUUUAGAUAUCGUUUUGCCAGUAUAGAACAAACACAGUAGAAUAAUAGUGUAUGUUAAAUGAGAAGCAUGUCAAGUGUAAUCUAAGAAUUUUAAGCGUGUUUAUAAUAUAACGAUCUUUUUAGGUUCUUAAGCCCCUCAAAUGCUUUUAUACGAGUAAAUUGUAUGGAAUUUCGGUUCCAAUUUUUCCAUGGAACUGCGCCAAUAGAAAGUCGAAACUCGUCACGUGAUUUCAAAUCUCGACCCGAAUAAUUGCGCUCGAACCUCAGGGAAUUGUUUCUUUUUCUUUGGUAACUUCCUGUUGGUAUCAUCCUCGAUGAACGUGCAUAACGAUGAUAAUACGACGUCGCGUGUCGCCGGCAAUUUUACGUUUUAUGAUUUACAAAAUUGAAAGAUAAACAGUAGUUUGCAUAUUUCUUAACAAUUUUACGGACAACAUUUUCCUUAUUUUUAGAAUGACAGAAUAAUUGAGAUUCCUUUUAUUCGAGUGACUCUAUUAUUCAGAAAGAUGUAGCCUUCUUUCGACAGUUUCGAUAUUCUGUUAGGUUGAUGCAUAUGAAAUAUCGUUUCCUCCAAAUUUUCUACCGACGUAUUAAGGUAGAAGAAAUUUACUAUAAAUCGUAUACGUAGGUAUAUUGAAUGUUAAGGAUCUGCAAAAUUUCUAAUAAAAACAUAAGAAUUUAACGAUUAAUCAUCAACAGGUCGAUUCUACAAAUGUUUGACCUGUAGAAUCUUCGCUUCUAAUUCUUAUAAAUCUAAAAUAAUGAAAUCAAUUAUUAUUUAGAAAAAUGCAUUGAAUCACGUGAAAAGUUUUUGUUUUCGUUAGACGCGUGAUCUUUUAAAAAAAUUACGUUAGAAUUUUAUUUAAGAAAACAAAGAUUUCAUACGUAUCAACAUGGAGUUAUCCAACAAGUAUAGGAGGUUGUUUCAUUUUAAUAUAAACUGGUAAUUCUAGAAGACAUUUACAGAUAAACCGACGAAGAUUCACUGAAUGAAAAAUAUAGAAUAGCACGUUAAGAUUGUUGAAUGUCGAGCAACGAGUGCAGCCGGAAGAGCAACGUAGUAUUUAAGAAAAAUGCAAGAAUUCCAUGCAACUGUGGAUGGGAAGUGAGAUUCGGUUACGGUGUCGCGGUUACAUUGGCCAUCUUCGAGGCUAAACGUUUUUUCAUGUUGAUCCUGGAGAUAUUUGCCGAAUGGCAAAUCAUUCGAUUCGCAGGUGGUCUACGACCAGUCAUAUUUACGUUAAUAAACGUCAGCUUGGGUUUACCGACUGCUCUAAUCACUGUCCGCAGUAUACGAUCACGAAAAGUACCACGCUGCUGCGCGGAAACAAGACGAACGCUAAAAUGCUUGUUAAUAGUGAUCGCGAUAUGCGCCAUAAUGAACGCGGCUACUCUGGUCUCCAUAGGAUAUCACAUGAACGUCAGACAAGAAACGUUAAUCGACAUUUUCAACAAUUCGAUGCAAUUGUACGUGAGUGCAUCGUCUUACAAGUACGCGCUCGACGAGAUACAAUUCAUCUUUCAAUGCUGUGGCCAUUCCUCCUACACAGAUUGGUUUCUCUUUGACUGGCAGGUGAAUCCACCAUUCAAAAAUGGUAACUCAAAGCACGGUAUAACAAGUGUGAACAGAAUAGUUUAAGAAUAUUGAAUAACGUAAAUAGUAUGAGAAAAAUAUUCCACGAUCAGGGAGUAGACUAUGCUUCGCGAGAUGAAAUGGCUGUACAAAGUCCAGUAUCUGAUGAAAGAUACAGAGACCGAAGUGUCCCGUUUAGCUGCUGUAAUUUACGUGCAAUGACACCGUGCGAACACACGGAGAUCUCGGAGACUGACGUGAAAACCAUAAAUACGAAUGGCUGCGUCGAAGUCGUUACACCUGUCAUCCUUAGGAUCGUCAUCGUCGCUUACGUCAUGACCAGCACGCUUGUAAUCAUUCAGAUCUUCUUAGCCUUCUUAAUUACAAAGAUCAUACGGAAACUUUUAUGCGGAACGUGUCUCACGUACCAUUUUCCAAAAACCUUCGCCAAUGAGUCCACCAGCGCAUCAUUAGAUGCUACAAGUUCGGAAGCAGAUGGACGAGAUCCCAGCACAUCUUCCUCAAACUGGGAACAGCAACCGAAAUCUACAAAGAAACGCCAUAAACGUAUACGAAGCAGCAAACGCAUGCCAUCGAACAAAAAUACUUAUCCAAGAAAUAAAAGCAACUCCAAAGACGAUUCUACUUCCUCGUCGCCAUUCGACUCUUCGCGUGGGACCAAAUACUCCAGUCGUAUGUCUAGAAUCCUCGAUGCCGCUAGAAUCAGACCAAGUACUCACGAGGAGCACACGAUAUUCAAGAAACGAUUGCGCGACGAUGGAACGCGUUGAACAAACGAACUACCUAUCAUUCGCAGUGUUUAUUCCAUCCGUCGUACAAAUCAAAUCACGUCACUGCUGAUGUUUUACGAGCGUUUAGCUACAUAUAUUCGCGUCUAAAAAAAGCAUGAGCGGGUUAAACAUGGAAUAAACUCGCGUUCUCGAAGAAUCGGAAUAGGUAUAAAGAUCAUUUCCUGGAGGAACAGCUGGUAAAAGCACUGCAAAACGAGGAGGAUCUUGUCGAUGUCUGAAAACAGAAUCUUCUGUCGAAGAUAUUCGAAGAAAACUCGGGGAAAUUUAAUCGGAAGACGGGCUACAAUUUUGGAAAUUAUUGGAUGAAGAAAUAGGAAGAGAGCUGUUAAGAGGUAGCUAAUUAUUAUGUAUAUAUAAGAAAAUAAAAUUCACUCCAUGUUAUAAGAAAAAUGAUAAUAAACGCGUGGAAGAGGCGUUAAGACACUAAGAGGCUAACUAUGCGUCUUCGAUAACGAUGAAACACAAAUUCCGUGAAGAAUAUUCAAAGAAAAUUCAGCGAAAUUCGUUCGAGAGACGAGAUGGAAUUUUUUCGAUAUUGGAAACAGAAACACGAAGAAGAAUGAUGAUAAACACGUGGAAACGGCGUUAAGACACGGCUAACUACGCGUCUUCGAUAACAAUGAAAUACAAAUUAUAAUGAUUAGAAGUAAGCGACGACAGCGAAGAAGACACGCGUGGUGGGGAUCGACGAAUCUUGCGUUUAGUAACACAAGAUCGUCUACUGGAGUGCAGUACGAUUCAAAGCACCGUGGAAGGCGCAUUGGUAAAGUCGCUAAUCCUAAGUUCCAUAUAGAUAUAGUCGCACUACUUUGUGUCUUUAACGAAACGACUCGUAUCAGUGAAUUUGUUCCAAAUUGUGGCAUUCGGUGGGUGGGUUCGCACGUGGUUGAAUGAUCGGCAUACAUGCGUUAAGCACGACCCACGUAUUUUCCGUCCGUAUAGUGGUGCUAGUUGAUCGAACCUAAGCGGCGCGAUCACACACAAGAGAUCAACGAGAAAGAAAGAGAAGAGUUACAGGGGGAAGAAAAGGGCGG